rnacentral:lncRNA from 1 species
UAAAUUUGGCAGCCCUCCUGCUGAAAGCAACAACUUCUGGCCCAGCUGUGAAUAGUUAUUUUCUUUGCACUCAUCUUUGUUGGCUUUCAUGAGGCUCUAAAAGUGAGAGUUGGAGAAAUACAAAUCGGUGGACACGCAUGACCAAACAUUCAUAGCCGUGGCUAUAAUUUUUUCUUCAGACAUGGCGCUUAAUAAUGUCUACGUGUAGUCUACCUAUAUGUGAGCAGAUUUGGCCUCUAGGAGCGAGCACGUGUGUUUGCAUAUGGCAUGUAUCGUGUGGGUUAUUAGAGUGAACUCGAACCACGUCCAUCGGAGUUGCACAUCCAUGUGAGUUGGCAGAGGUGUUUGAUGUGAUGUGGGCAUUUGUGUUUUAUGUAAUAGAUAGUAUCAUCCUCGCUCGUUGUGCCGCCUUCGUCCACACAAGCGACGGAGCUAAGGUUACGAGAACCGGCCCAGUGGCACCAUGUUGGUCUACCAGGAUCUGCUAUCUGACGACGACCUCCAGUAGGACUCCCUCCCCUACAGGCAACUCAGGAACGGCGUCACAGACGUCGAGGACAAGUGCACUAUCAAAUACGCGAUCUUUGCCGAGUGCAUAUAAUCUUGCCGAGAGCAAAAUAAAGGAAAAGGCUAUCGGUAAGGAGGCAGUAUUCUGAGUGUCGUCCUCUCGGCAGAGAUAGACACCUGGUAAAAAUGCUUUUGCUGACCGUGAGCUACCGUAAUUUUGUUGAGUGUUUUACCGUGGCACUCGUCAAAGAGAUAGUUUGACGAGUGCCUUUUUGACACUCGCUAAGAUUUUUAUUUUUGUCCUAAAACGUUUAUAUUCUGGAGGUAACCGGUGGUGGCACACGGUGUGACCGCGAAGGGUGCAUCAAGGCGAAGCAACUCCGUGUGAAGGAUGUGGCCGUCGGAUCGAAAACCUAGAAGUUGCUCCAUUUCGCCCCCAGUGGAGUGGAUAGGCUCUAUGUAAAUAGUAGUAGUUUAGGAAGUGAGAAUAACCCUCUAUAAAUGUAUAGGAGGGCUGAUUAGUUCAGCAUAUCUUGGCUGCCAUUUAUUUAGAGCACUCAUUAUAGAGCUCCUAGUUUUCUCUCUAGGUAGACAUCAGUUGAGCCGAGGGUUCCACAGCGAUUUUGUACUUCGACUGUGUUCUUGAUUUUCAAGUUUAAUCAAAGGAAGGGUCACCGGUCCGGCCCACAGGGCUAUUUGGCUUCAAAUCUCAGUUUGUACCCUUG